AAAAAGGAAGGAAUUAAUUAUAUACAGGUCCUGUAAAUAUAAUAAAUUAUAAAUAUAUUUUUACGUACAAAUUUCAACGUUUAUAUUUUAUUUUUACAAAAGCUAUGAUAUUUUUAAAUAUAUUUCUGCCGUUAGAAUCCGUUAGAAAAUUUUAGUUAACCAUACGUUACAUAAUUAACCCUAGUUAGUUAAUGAGGUGAAUUGAUUUUUUUAUCACUCUUCAAUUAAUAGUUGAAAUUUUUAGAGGAAUAUAUUUGUGAUGACAAAAAGGUCAUUCCACUCAUAAAAUCGACAGUACUUUAACGGUAACAAACCAGAGUGACAUAUUUGAAAAUAUUAGGACUUUUAUAAAAACAGCAUAUAAAAAUUAAACUUUGUAGGUAUACAUCUACAACUUUUAUAGAGACAGCAUAUAAAAUUUGAACUUUGUAGGAAUAUAUCUAAAUUCACUAUAUUUACAAGGAUCUUAUAAAAUUAAUCCAAAA
rnacentral:lncRNA from 1 species